GACUUAUAUUCUGUAGCAAGGUUAACCGAAUAGGGGAGCCGGAGGGAAACCGAGUCUUAAUUGGGCGUUAAGUUGCAGGGUAUAGACCCGAAACCCGGUGAUCUAGCCAUGGGCAGGUUGAAGGUUGGGUAACACUAACUGGAGGACCGAACCGACUAAUGUUGAAAAAUUAGCGGAUGACCUGUGGCUGGGGGUGAAAGGCCAAUCAAACCGGGAGAUAGCUGGUUCUCCCCGAAAGCUAUUUAGGUAGCGCCUCGUGAAUUCAUCUCCGGGGGUAGAGCACUGUUUCGGCUAGGGGGCCAUCCCGGCUUACCAACCCGAUGCAAACUGCGAAUACCGGAGAAUGUUAUCACGGGAGACACACGGCGGGUGCUAACGUCCGUCGUGAAGAGGGAAACAACCCAGACCGCCAGCUAAGGUCCCAAAGUCAUGGUUAAGUGGGAAACGAUGUGGGAAGGCCCAGACAGCCAGGAUGUUGGCUUAGAAGCAGCCAUCAUUUAAAGAAAGCGUAAUAGCUCACUGGUCGAGUCGGCCUGCGCGGAAGAUGUAACGGGGCUAAACCAUG
rnacentral:rRNA from 1 species